rnacentral:rRNA from 1 species
CCUACGGGUGGCAGCAGUGAGGAAUAUUGGUCAAUGGACGAGAGUCUGAACCAGCCAAGUAGCGUGAAGGAUGACUGCCCUAUGGGUUGUAAACUUCUUUUAUAUGGGAAUAAAACGUUCCACGUGUGGGAUUUUGUAUGUACCAUAUGAAUAAGGAUCGGCUAACUCCGUGCCAGCAGCCGCGGUAAUAUGGAGGAUCCGAGCGUUAUCCGGAUUUAUUGGGUUUAAAGGGAGCGUAGGUGGAUUGUUAAGUCAGUUGUGAAAGUUUGCGGCUCAACCGUAAAAUUGCAGUUGAAACUGGCAGUCUUGAGUACAGUAGAGGUGGGCGGAAUUAGUGGUGUAGCGGUGAAAUGCUUAGAUAUCACGAAGAACUCCGAUUGCGAAGGCAGUUCACUGGACUGCAACUGACACUGAGGCUCGAAAGUGUGGGUAUCAAACAGGAUUAGAUACCCUGGUAGUC